GGCUCGGUAGUGGACGGCCCACGCCUGCAUUUGCUCAUCUUGAAAGGCAUUGGAUCAGCAGGAACCGCUCGUUCGACUCGAGCCCGGGCCA